GUGUCAGCAGCCGCGGUAAUACGGGGGGAGCGAGCGUUGUUCGGAAUCACUGGGCGUAAAGGGCGCGUAGGCGGUUGGAUAAGUCAGGGGUGAAAUGCCAGGGCUUAACCUUGGAAUUGCCUUUGAUACUGUCUGGCUAGAGGACGGAAGAGGAUAGUGGAAUUCCUGGUGUAGCGGUGAAAUGCGUAGAUAUCAGGAAGAACACCGGUGGCGAAGGCGGCUAUCUGGUCCGUUACUGACGCUGAUGCGCGAAAGCCAGGGGAGCAAACGGGAUUAGAUACCCUAGUAGUCC
rnacentral:rRNA from 1 species